rnacentral:lncRNA from 1 species
GCGCUACCGUUGCGCCACGAGGUCUCCGGGACACCUACGUUUUAUUUACCUGUCAAUCUGAUUCAUGAAAAUAAUUUCGGUACUGGUGAAGACCAGGCAGCUAUUAACAGAUACAAAAUAGUGCCUAGCUGCUUCCCUCUCGAAAUACAUUCUGUUGAAGGUCAGUCGCUUUGGAAUGGGGUUGUAGAGAGGAGGUAGCGAAGAGGGAAUAAUGAGGAUCCUUCCUCUCCCAACUCCUCAUUAAGGAACUCUGAUCAAGAUCCAGUGAAGAACUCCAUGAUCCUAGAGCCAAAGCCGCUCAAUGAUCUCUUGGUGAUCACUGCAUUCAGAUUGACUUCCAGUGCCACACUGCAGAAUUGAACCACCGAGGGAUCUGCUGACUCUU